AUGCUCGCUUUGGCAGCAGAUAUACUAAAAUUGGAACAAGACAGAGAAGAUGAGCGUGGCCCCUGUGUAAGGAUGACAUGCAAAUUCAUGAGGUGUUCCAUAUUUAA
ensembl:snRNA U6 U6 spliceosomal RNA